rnacentral:rRNA from 1 species
AAAUUGAAGAGUUUGAUCAUGGCUCAGAUUGAACGCUGGCGGCAGGCCUAACACAUGCAAGUCGAACGGUAACAGGAAACAGCUUGCUGUUUCGCUGACGAGUGGCGGACGGGUGAGUAAUGUCUGGGAAACUGCCUGAUGGAGGGGGAUAACUACUGGAAACGGUAGCUAAUACCGCAUAAUGUCGCAAGACUAAAGAGGGGGACCUUCGGGCCUCUUGCCAUCGGAUGUGCCCAGAUGGGAUUAGCUAGUAGGUGGGGUAACGGCUCACCUAGGCGACGAUCCCUAGCUGGUCUGAGAGGAUGACCAGCCACACUGGAACUGAGACACGGUCCAGACUCCUACGGGAGGCAGCAGUGGGGAAUAUUGCACAAUGGGCGCAAGCCUGAUGCAGCCAUGCCGCGUGUAUGAAAAAGGCCUUCGGGUUGUAAAGUACUUUCAGCGGGGAGGAAGGGAGUAAAGUUAAUACCUUUACUCAUUGACGUUACCCGCAGAAGAAGCACCGGCUAACUCCGUGCCAGCAGCCGCGGUAAUACGGAGGGUGCAAGCGUUAAUCGGAAUUACUGGGCGUAAAGCGCACGCAGGCGGUUUGUUAAGUCAGAUGUGAAAUCC